rnacentral:piRNA from 1 species
UUAUUUUUUAGGUAGACUCAGGCU